rnacentral:rRNA from 1 species
UACGAAGGGAGCUAGCGUUGUUCGGAAUCACUGGGCGUAAAGCGCACGUAGGCGGAUGUGUCAGUCAGGGGGUGAAAUCCCGGAGCUCAACUUCGGAACUGCCUUUGAUACAGCACAUCUGGAGUCCGGAAGAGGUGGGUGGAAUUCCUAGUGUAGAGGUGAAAUUCGUAGAUAUUAGGAAGAACACCGGUGGCGAAGGCGGCCCACUGGUCCGGUACUGACGCUGAGGUGCGAAAGCGUGGGGAGCAAACAGG